CCUACGGGAGGCUGCAGUGAGGAAUAUUGGUCAAUGGACGAGAGUCUGAACCAGCCAAGUAGCGUGAAGGAUGACUGCCCUAUGGGUUGUAAACUUCUUUUAUAUGGGAAUAAAAUGUUCCACGUGUGGGAUUUUGUAUGUACCAUAUGAAUAAGGAUCGGCUAACUCCGUGCCAGCAGCCGCGGUAAUACGGAGGAUCCGAGCGUUAUCCGGAUUUAUUGGGUUUAAAGGGAGCGUAGGUGGAUUGUUAAGUCAGUUGUGAAAGUUUGCGGCUCAACCGUAAAAUUGCAGUUGAAACUGGCAGUCUUGAGGACAGUAGAGGUGAGCGGAAUUCGUGGUGUAGCGGUGAAAUGCUUAGAUAUCACGAAGAACUCCGAUUGCGAAGGCAGUUCACUGGACUGCAACUGACACUGAGGCUCGAAAGUGUGGGUAUCAAACAGGAUUAGAUACCCCUGUAGUC
rnacentral:rRNA from 1 species